UGGCUCAGAGGUUAAGAGCACUGGAUGCUCUUCCAGAGGUUCUGGGUUCAAUUCCCAG
rnacentral:tRNA from 1 species